UUUCAAUGUCCGUGUGUGUGUGUGUGUUUGUGUGUGUGUGUUUGUGUAUCUGUGUGUAUGUGUGUGAGUGUAUGUGUUAGAGAUUGUAUGGGACGUUCUCUUUGCCUCUUCAGUAUGUCUAUCGAUUAGCCUACGGCUACUAUC